CGGAGCGCGGUCGUGCACCUGUAAUGACAGCACGUGCUACAGCUGAGUGGCGGUCUCGGUCUCGGAAAAGUGAAGGUGAUUUGGCGGGAAAGAAAUGUGCCGCUCUGAUUUUAGAAAGAAGUGAAAAAGUGACUGCAUGAUUCCAAACUUUCAGCCGGCUGUGUGCACCACCGAAAAAUAUGCAGAAAAAGUGGUGACGACAAUUAUUCAACAAUACACGUCUGA